rnacentral:rRNA from 1 species
UACGUAGGGUGCGAGCGUUGUCCGGAAUUAUUGGGCGUAAAGAGCUUGUAGGUGGUUUGUCGCGUCUGCUGUGAAAAUCCGAGGCUCAACCUCGGACUUGCAGUGGGUACGGGCAGACUAGAGUGUGGUAGGGGAGACUGGAAUUCCUGGUGUAGCGGUGGAAUGCGCAGAUAUCAGGAGGAACACCGAUGGGCGAAGGCGGGGUCU